AUUGAACGCUGGCGGCAGGCCUAACACAUGCAAGUCGAGCGGAUCGCCGGCCGGGUGAGUAAUGCCUAGGUAUCUGCCUGGUAGUGGGGGAUAGCGUCCGGCACCGGGCGCUAAUCCCGCAUCCUAUCACUUGCGCUUAGAUCGGAUUAGCUAGUUGGUGGGGUAAAGGCCUACCAAGGCGACGAUCCGUAACUGGUCUGAGAGGAUGAUCAGUCACACUGGAACUGAGACACGGUCCAGACUCCUACGGGAGGCAGCAGUGGGGAAUAUUGGACAAUGGGCGCAAGCCUGAUCCAGCCAUGCCGCGUGUAUGAAGAAGGUCUUAGGAUUGUAAAGCACUUUAAGUUGGGAGGCGUUACCAACAGAAUAAGCACCGGCUAACUGCGUGCCAGCAGCCGCGGUAAUAC
rnacentral:rRNA from 1 species